GACGAAGGGGGCUAGCGUUGUUCGGAAUUACUGGGCGUAAAGCGCGUGUAGGCGGUUGUUCAAGUCGGGUGUGAAAGCCUUGAGCUCAACUCAAGAAAUGCACUCGAUACUGGAUGACUUGAGGACCGGAGAGGAUAGUGGAAUUCCCAGUGUAGUGGUGAAAUACGUAGAGAUUGGGAAGAACACCAGUGGCGAAGGCGGCGACCUGGUCCUUUACUGACGCUGAGGCGCGAAAGCGUGGGGAGCAAACAGG
rnacentral:rRNA from 1 species